UCAUGGAUAAAACCCACGAGUUGGGUUUCGCAAGAUGGCCAGUCAUGUGUUAGACUACCUGUUUUUAUUAAAUAAACAAAAUGUAUACACACCUGAGACAUUUGUUAUCCCCGCCGAAAAAAAAUUCGAAGGGGAUAUAGAAAUUGGUCCCGUCCGUCUGUCCGUCCGAAACUUUGUCCGGAGCAUAAAUCCAAAUCUAUUCAAUGGAUUUACUUUAAACUUAGAAUAUAAACAGAUGGCAACUAGGAGAAGUGCAGGGACCAAGAACCGUAACUCUAUCUACCUUAGUUUUUGAAUUAUCUCCCCUUUUAUAUAACUUUAAAGUAAUUUUUUGUCCGGAGCAUAACUCUAAAUCUACUAAAGGGAUUUACCUGAAACUUGAAACAUAAACAGAUGGCAACAAGGAGAAGUACAGUGACCAAGAACCAUAACUCUAUCUACCUUAGUUUUUGAAUUAUCUCCCCUUUUAUAUAAUUUUAAAGUAAAUUUUUGUCCGGAGCAUAACUCUAAAUCUACUGAAGGGAUUUACUUGAAACUUAAAAUAUAAACAGAUGGCAAGUAGGAGAACUGCAGUGACUAAAAACCAUAACUCUAUCUACCUUAGUUUUUUAAUUAUCUCCCCUUUUAUAUAAUUUUUAAAGUAAAUUUUUGUCCAGAGCAUAACUCAAAAUCUACUAAAGGAAUUUACCUGAAACUUGAAAUAUAAACAGAUGACAAGUAGGAAAAGUGCAGUAACUAAGAACCAUAACUUUAUCUACGUUAGUUUUUGAAUUAUCUCCAUUUAUUUAAUUUCAAAGUAAUUUUUUUGUCCGGAGCAUAACUCUAAAUCUACUGAAGGGAUUUACUUGAAACUUUAAAUAUAAACAGAUGGCAAGUAGGAGAAGUGCAGUGACUAGAACCAUAACACUAUCUACCUUAGUUUUUGAAUUAUCUCCCUUUUUUUAAUUACAAAGUAAAAUUUUUUCCGGAGCACAACUCUAAAUCUACUGAAGGGAUUUACUUGAAACUAGAAAUAUAAACAGAUGGCAACUAGGAGAAUUGCAGUGAACAUGAACAAUAACUCUUUCAGCCAUAGUUUUUGAAUUAUCUCCCUUUAUUUGUUUUACAAAUAUUAUUCUACUCUCUAAAACAAAUGUUGUCAUACAAGCAAACACAUUUCGGCGGGGAUUUGGCACUACUGUGACAAGCUCUUGUUGUUCUUACAACAAUAUAAAGACAAACUAUUUUACAUGUUAGAACAGAAUAGUGUACUUCAACUUAAAUAUAUAAAGUUCAUCGUCAAAAACAUACAUAUACAAUAACAAUAUAUGUUUCAAUUAAGUGCAAAACAUACAUCAUUUUCAAAAUUAGAUCAAUUUAAAAAGGCAGGAAAUUAACAUGUUUUCGUGAGAAUGUCACAUGGAUAAGGUUAAUACAUAGUUACCACAGCUUGAUUGGUCAUUGUUGGCUCAGGUACUACUUAAAUGUACCUGGGUACUCUUAAGUAUACUUAAAUGUACCCCGGCUAUGAAAAAUAUACUAACACAUACCCGGCAAAUUUAGACUCUAACCAAGUUUUAUUCGCGCCCAAAAUCCGAUGUGAUGAAACGUGCUUCAGAAUAUGAAACAAAAUCUCUUUGAACAAAACCUGCCUUAACAUGCUUUUUAGUGGCAGUUUCAAUAAUAUAAAGGCCAUUUUAGAGAAUAUUGUCAUAAAUAUGAACAUGAUUAAUUUGACAAAAAUAGCCAAUACAGACAAAUUUAGCGUUAGAAAUCCCGAGUAUGUUUCAGUAUAUUUUCCGAACCCGGGGUGCAUUUAAGUAUAUUCUUAAGAGUACCUUAUAUUAAAUCAUUGUGGUCGAUGAUGUUACGCAGACAUUCCAGGAAGUGAUGAACUGGUCAGUUUUUGAAAAAUGGGAUAAAUUUAUUAGUGUUCCCAGAUUCAGGAAAUAGCAAUACAUGGGUAAAACAGGUUUGGUUUAGAUUGUCCCUUUUGUGCUCAUGGUGGGCUUUUGGGAUCACCUUUUGUCCGUUGUGCGUUGUCCAUUGUUAACAUUUUGCCUUAUUAACACUGUAGAGGCCACAUUGUUUUUAUUAUCUUCAUAAACUUGGUCCAAAGAUUUGUCCCAAUUAUAACUUCGUUGAGAUCCAAACUGGGUCACAUAAGUUCAAAAUCUAUGUCACUAGGUCAAAUUAAAGAAGCGCUUGUUAACACUAUAGAAGUCACAUUUAUCGUCCAAUCUUCAUGAAACUUUGGUAUAGCAUUUGUCUUAAUGAUUUCUCCACUGAGUUCGAAAAUGGUUCAGUUUCGUUGAAAAACAUGGCCGCCAGGGUGCGGGGCAGUUUUCCAUAUAUGGCUAUAGAACUGUAGCAAAAACUUUUUAACACUCUUAGAAGUCCCAUUUAUUGUCCAAUCUUCAUGGAACUUGGUCAGAACAUUUGUUCUUGUGAUAGCUCGCCUUAUUUUGAAAAUGGUUUGGGUCCGUUGAAAAACAUGGUAGCCAGGGGGCGGACCAGUUUUCAUUAUAUGGCUAAAGUAAUCUUGUUAACACUUUAGAGGUCACAUUUAUAGUCCUAUCUUCAUGAAACUUGGUCAGAAUAUGUUUUCUAAUUAUAACUCAGCUGAGUUCUAAAAUGGUAAAGGUUUGGUGAAAAACAUGGCAGUCAGGGGGUGGGGCAUUUUUCCUUAUAUGGCUAUAGUAAAACCUUGUUUUCUCUCUUGAAGUCACAUUUAUGGUCUAAAAUUGAAGAAACUUGGUCAGAUAAUUUCUUCUAAUGAUAGCUCUGCUGAGUUUAGAAAUGGUAAUGAUUCAUCGAAAAAUGUGGCUGUCAAGAGGCAGGUCAUUCUUACUUAAUACAGCUAUAGUAAAACCUUGUUAACUCUCUAGAAGUCACAUUUUUAGUUCAAUCAUCAUGAAAUGAAACUUGGUGAGAACAUUUGUUCUAAUGAUAUUUUGGCUGAGUUUUAGAAUGGUUCCUGUUAGUUGAAAAAAAUUGCCUCCUGCGGGCUGGUCAUUUUUCCUUACAUGGCUAUAGUAAAACCAUGUUAACUCUCUACUGUAUAUUUUAGCCAAGUUUGAAAAUGGUUUCAGAAACAAUUCAAAUUUGCUUCUGAGAGCAGUUCAGUUCCCUGAAGUCUCAGUUGAGCGACCAUGGGCCUCUGGCCCUUUUGAUAUAAUUAUUACUUUAUACUAUUGCAAAUAUUACAGUUUUUAAGUACAUGUAGAUUUAUUAAGUGACAUUUGGAAAAACUAUAUGAACAAGUCCCUGUAAUACCAGCUUACUGUCCAAUAGUGAAUUAUUAUGCUCCCCUUCGAAGAAGAGGGGGUAUAUUGUUUUGCUCAUGUCGGUCCGUCGGUCAGUCCGUCCGUCCACCAGAUGGUUUCCGGAUGAUAACUCAAGAACGCUUAGACCUAGGAUCAUGAAACUUCAUAGGUACAUUGAUCAUGACUGGCAGAUGACCCCUAUUGAUUUUCAGGUCACUAGGUCAAAGGUCAAGGUCACAGUGACUUGAAAUAGUAAAAUGGUUUCAGGAUGAUAACUCAAGAAUGCUUAGGCCUAGGAUCUUGAAACUUAAUAGGUAGAUUGAUCAUGACUGGCAGAUGACCCCUAUUGAUUUUCAGGUCACUAGGUCAAAGGUCAAGGUCACAGUGACUCAAAAUAGUAAAAUGGUUUCUGGAUUAUAACUCAAGAAUGCUUACGCCUAGGAUCAUGAAACUUCAUAGGUACAUUGAUCAUGACUGGCAGAUGACCCCUAUUGAUUUUCAGGUCACUAGGUCAAAGGUCAAGGUCACAGUGACUCGAAAUAGUGAAAUGGUUUCCGGAUGAUAACUCAAGAAUGCUUACGCCUAGGAUCAUGAAAGUUCAUAGGUACAUUGAUCAUGACUGGCAGAUGACCCCUAUUAAUUUUCAGGUCAAUAGGUCAAAGGUCAAGGUCACAGUGACAAAAACCGUAUUCACACAAUGGCUGCCACUACUACUGACAGCCCAUAUGGGGGGCAUGCAUGUUUUACAAACAGCCCUUGUGUCAAAUUGAAGACAGAUAGGAUGGCACAAACUGAGACUCACUUUGGAAGAACUGGGCUUAAAGCAUGUGAGAAAAGUGUCAUCCCAGAUCGGGGAAAACACUUGAGCCUUAACUUGAUGUUUUCAGAGAAGGGACUUCAUUUAAACAAAACAUUCCAUAAAAGCGGAAAGUGUCGUCCCUGAUUAGCCUGUUAGGACUGUAAAGGCUAGUCUGGGAUGACACUUUGCACGUUUAUUAAGCCCACUUUUCCCACAACUAGGCUGACAUUAUUAAAGAGUUGUUAGUAUAUGGGGUAUUUCAUAAGACAAUAGCUUUUUUAGCUCACCUAAGCACAACGUGCUCAUGGUGAGCUUUUGUGAUCGUCUUUUGUUCGUCGUGCGUCGUGCGCCGUCAACAUUUGCCUUGUGAACACUCCAGAGGCCACAUUUAUUGUCCGAUCUUCAUGAAACUUGGUCAGAACAUUUGUCCCAUUAAUAACUCGACUGAGUUCGAAACUGGGUCAUGCUGGGUCAAAAACUAGGUCACUAGGUCAAAAAAAAAGAAAAACCUUGUGAACACUGUAGAAGUCACAUUUGAUGCCCAAUCUUCAUGUACCUUUGUCAAAAUGUUUGUCUAAAUGAUAUGUUGGUUGAGUUCAAAAAUGGUUCCGGUCCCUUGAAAAACAUGGCCACCAGGGGGCGGGGCAGUAUUCCUUAUAUGGCUAUAGAGAAACCUUGUGAACACUUUAGAAGUCACAAUCUUUGCCCAAUCAUCAUGAAACUUGGUCAAAACAUUGGUUUCAUUGAUAUCUCAGACAAUUUGAAAAAUGGUCCAGAUCGGUGAAAAAACAUGGCCGCCAGGGGGCGGGGCAGUUUUCUCUAUAUGUAUAUACUGAAAACAUGUGAACACUCUAGAAGUCACAUUUUUGGUCCAAUCUUCAUGAAAUUUGGUCAGAACAUGUGUUUUCUGGAUAUGACAGCUGAGUUCGAAAAUGGUCCAGAUCGGUGAAAAAACUUGGCUGCCAGGGGGUGGGGCAGUUUUCUCUAUAUGUAUAUAGUGUGAACAGUAUAGUUGUGAUAAGCCAUAAUGUUAAAGAAAGAUAACCUGUACAUACUUUCUGAUAGUUAACUAAUAGUUAACUCCCUUGUAUAAAUCUGGGACUUCUUUCAUAAAAUGUGGUGUACAUAAAGACAGUAGUUUGCAUGCAAUUUAAUAAACCUAUGUCAUAAAAUAAAUGUACAUGUACUAAUGCACUGUAGAGCCUUAUCUUUGAUCUUUACUGAUAAGCCAAGUUAACCUACUGUGUUUUGGUGUAUUUAGCAGACUACUGUGCUAUGAAUCUGUUUCCAUGGCAACCUUGUUAUUUGGUAUUUUCUAAAUUAGAAAGACUCUUUUGAAUGAAAUAACUCUUGUAAAUUCUUCUUAUUUUUAGCUCGACUAUUAUAUAUGAAAUAUAUAUAGUGGAGCUAUCCUACUCACCCCGGCGUUGGCGUUAGCGUGCAAAUGUUAAAGUUUGCGUGUUACCCCAAAUAUUUCCAAUGUCCCUUGACAUAUUGCUUUCAUAUUUUUAUGCCCCCCCUCGAAGAAGAGGGGGUAUAUUGCUUUGCACAUUUCGGUCGGUCGGUCGGUCUGUCGGUCGGUCCGUCCACCAGGUGGUUUCCGGAUGAUUACUCAAGAAGGCUAAGCCUAGGAUCAUGAAACUUCAUAGGUACAUUGAUCAUGACUCGCAGAUGACCCCUAUUGAUUUUGAGGUCACUAGGUCAAAGGUCAAGGUCACUGUGACCCGAAAUAGUAAAAUGGUUUCCGGAUGAUAAUUCAAGAACGCUUAUGCCUAGGAUCAUGAAACUUGAUAGGUAGAUUGAUCAUGACUCGCAGAUGACCCCUAUUGAUUUUCAGGUCACUAGGUCAAAGGUCAAGGUCACGGUGACCCGAAAUAGAAAAAUGGUUUCCGGAUGAUAACUCAAGAACCCUUAUGCCUAGGAUCAUGAAACUUGAUAGGUAGCUUGAUCAUGACUGGCAGAUGACCCCUAUUGAUUUUCAGGUCACUAGGUCAAAGGUCAAGGUCACAGUGACCCAAAAUAGUAAAAUGGUUUCCGGAUGAUAACUCAAGAACGCUUAUGCCUAGGAUCAUGAAACUUCAUAGGUACAUUGAUCAUGACUGGCAGAUGACCCCUAUUGAUUUUCAGGUCACUAGGUCAAAGGUCAAGGUCACAGUGACAAAACAACAUAUUUACAAAAUGGCUGUGACUACAACUGAGAGCCCAUAUGGGGGGCAUGCAUGUUUUACAAACAGCCCUUGUUCAUACUUGUUUACCAUCAUGACCCCAACCUAUAAACAAGAGCAGACAACUGUAUCAAGCAUUUUGACAGAAUUAUGGCCCCUUUUAUACUUAGAAUAUGCAUAUUAUUGAUAAAUCUAUGUUAAAGUUUGCGUACUUCCCCAAAUAUUUCCUGUGUCCCUUGACUUAUUGCUUUCAUAUUUUGCAUACUUGUUUACCAUCAUGACCCCAACCUAUAAACAAGAGCAGACAACUGUAUCAAGCAUUUUGACAGAAUUAUUGCCCCUUUUAUACUUAGAAUAUGCAUAUUAUUGAUAAAUCUAUGUUAAAGUUUGCGUACUACCCCAAAUAUUUUCUGUCUCCCUUGACAUAUUGCUUUCAUAUUUUGCAUACUUGUUUACCAACAUGACCCCAACCUAUAAACAAGAGCAGACAACUGUAUCAAGCAUUUUGACAGAAUUAUGGCCCCUUUUAUACUUAGAAUAUCCAUAUUAUUGAUAACUCUAUGUUAAAGUUUGACAAAACAACACUUACC